rnacentral:rRNA from 1 species
AGUGAACGCUGGCGGCAGGCCUAACACAUGCAAGUCGAACGGCAGCACAGGAGAGCUUGCUCUCUGGGUGGCGAGUGGCGGACGGGUGAGGAAUACAUCGGAAUCUACCUUGUCGUGGGGGAUAACGUAGGGAAACUUACGCUAAUACCGCAUACGACCUUCGGGUGAAAGCAGGGGACCUUCGGGCCUUGCGCGAUUAGAUGAGCCGAUGUCGGAUUAGCUAGUUGGCGGGGUAAAGGCCCACCAAGGCGACGAUCCGUAGCUGGUCUGAGGGGAUGAUCAACCACACUGGAACUGGGACACGGUCCAGACUCCUACGGGAGGCAGCAGUGGGGAAUAUUGGACAAUGGGCGCAAGCCGGAUCCAGCCAUGCCGCGUGGGUGAAGAAGGCCUUCGGGUUGUAAAGCCCUUUUGUUGGGAAAGAAAAGCAGUCGGCCAAUACCCGAUUGUUCUGACGGUACCCAAAGAAUAAGCACCGGCUAACUUCGUGCCAGCAGCCGCGGUAAUAC